ACAUUUCAGUGAAGUCUAGCAGGUCAAGGUACAGGGCUCCAGGGGUAUAUAGCACAAAUUAACCAGAAGGCGUUUCGUCACAGCCCCUACCUUCUGCUCUGGUAGGUGGUCAGUUCUUCUUGAAGGAUAGAUGCCCUCUUUUGCAGAAAGUUGACCUAGAAAGACAUCUUAUAUGAGAGAAGGGAAGUGCAGAUGUCAACACUACACACACACUAUGCUAGGAUUUUACUUAGACAAUCUCCUGGAUAACACUCGGAGGAAGUGAAUAUUAAGGAUGCAUUUUCCUGUAUCUGGUUACUUUCUGUCCCCACUGGAAAUCCACCCAAGGCUACAGAACCAACUAUAAGCUGUGUCCUAGCGGCCAUCUUGAUUGGCUGCCAUUCUGUCUCUGUGCCUGCCUCCCUCCUCGUGACCUUCCUACCAGUGCCACCUUCUGUCACCCUUUGGCCUGGGCCAUUUCUCACUUUGGAACAUCUACUAAAAGUCCCUUGGCCCCCCGCUGCUGCCUCACAAGUCAGCCCUCCCAUUGCUUCCCAACUGCUCACAUUGGCCCUGCUGAGUCCCAAGCCAGAGGCCUAUCCUCUGCACCUGAUGUUCUAGACUUUCUCACACUGCCUUGUGGUUAUGCUUCCAUGGCUGUUCCCAAACCCUGUGAUCUUUUCAGGAGAGGGACGACUGCCUAUCUCCAGUCCCCAGCUUCUUUUACAGGGCUGGGCAUGUAGCUGGUAUGCACUGGCUGUUUAAUGAGCGAAUGAGUGAGUGAAAAGAAAAUUACUGCUUUCUGGAAACCUCAAAUCCAUCCUGGGGAUUCCCUGAGGUUAGACAGAGUUUGGGAGUGGAAAAAGUCUGAGCUUUUUCUGGAGUUAGGCCAACUCCACUUCCAUCCCUGGCUUGGCCUCUAAGGCCCUAGGAAGGUUACUCAGCUCUUGCUGUGUCAUCUGUGAAGUGGGCUUCAGGACAGUUGCUUCCCAGGGUUAGGAGUGAUGAGCUGUGCCUCUCAGCAAAUGCCCAGUACAGGCUUCACAGUAGGUAUCACCGUGGAGUGCAGGGCUGGAGGACAGAAGCUAUUGCCCUGGCAUGAUUUCUUCAAUGAGGUCUUUAUAGUACAUGUGAUACUUUGCAGUAUAAAUGUCUAUGGGAUCAAUGACACCUAUAUAUCAGGCAUCAAUUCCAAACACCUUAUCCAACCACAUAAAAACAGUUUGGGGACAGCUUAACUAUGGCUCAAUGUAAUCAAGAGUCAGUGGCAUUUGAUCUGCUCAGAACUGUUUACUCUUGGUUCUUUGGUCUGAGUGGAAACCAUGGCAACGGCUGGUUUUGAGGCAUAGUUAUGCAAGAGUACAGCUGGAAGACCCAAAAGCGAGCUGGAAAGAGAAGAAGGCACAGCCUGCUCAGUGGUGUGUAUCACAGUGGUCCCUGGGUUUGCUCGCCUAGGAUGGCGACUGACCGGCUCCUCAUGUCAUCCGAGUGCUCACACGAGCCAUAGGACAAUUGAUAAUUUUGACAGAUGCAAGGAUCAUACUGCUUUAACUUCCUUCCCCCACCCUGCAUUGCAAUCGAUUGGAAUUCCAACAAUUUUCAAAAACACAGGCACCUGUGCUUUCAAACUAAAUCUGCUCACUCUAAGGCCUGCGACUCCUCCGUGCAGCUGCCAACUCUGAGGCCCUCAUGCAGCUGGCAGCACUCUCUCUCUCUGGGUCAACAUCCAGUUUCAGGAGGUUGAAGCAGCUUUUAUUACAGUGAAAUGAUAUGAACGAUAACAGAAGCUAUGCAGGUGGGUAUUGGAUUUCUCCCCUCCCCCACACCAACAGAAUAGAAUCUCCCUCCUCUGAGGGUGUCAGGCUCUCCCAGCUGACCCCAUGGGCACUCUCCAGUGAAGCCACAUUCAGUACUGCCCUUACACUGUGUUCUGCCCCAUCCUUUGUUUUCACAUGCAGAGGCAAGCAGCAGAGUCUAGGAACAGCCUCUGAAGGACUGGGGGAAAGGGCUUUUCACUGCAGCCAGCUCACUGAGGGAGCUAGAGAAGAAUCACCUCAAAUUUGCUUCAGGUAGCCAUGGCUGGCCAGAUACUUGCUAUGUAGACCAAUCUAGCCUUGAACUCACGGAGAUCCAGCUGCCCGUCUUCCUACUGCUGGGAUUCAAGGUGUGCCCCAUGGUGCUUGGCUCCAUACAGUUUUACAUAUUAUAAACACUCAAUGGAAUUUGAGUGAAUUAAAAAGAGCCCCUGGAAAAUGUAAAAUGACCUCACUUAAGAGCAAGACUUCCUAUCAGAAAAAUAUUAUUACUCUGCAUUUGGAAGUCCCAGUCCUGAAUCAAGAAAUCAUUAUAUCAAGCAGAAUCUUGUUGCUUUAAUAAAAAUCAUGAAAAACUUUA